rnacentral:rRNA from 1 species
GAUGAACGCUGGCGGCGUGCCUAAUACAUGCAAGUCGAGCGAAUGGAUUAAGAGCUUGCUCUUAUGAAGUUAGCGGCGGACGGGUGAGUAACACGUGGGUAACCUGCCCAUAAGACUGGGAUAACUCCGGGAAACCGGGGCUAAUACCGGAUAACACUUUGAACCGCAUGGUUCGAAAUUGAAAGGCGGCUUCGGCUGUCACUUAUGGAUGGACCCGCGUCGCAUUAGCUAGUUGGUGAGGUAACGGCUAACCAAGGCAACGAGGCGUAGCCGACCUGAGAGGGUGAUCGGCCACACUGGGACUGAGACACGGCCCAGACUCCUACGGGAGGCAGCAGUAGGGAAUCUUCCGCAAUGGACGAAAGUCUGACGGAGCAACGCCGCGUGAGUGAUGAAGGCUUUCGGGUCGUAAAACUCUGUUGUUAGGGAAGAACAAGUGCUAGUUGAAUAAGCUGGCACCUUGACGGUACCCAACCAGAAAGCCACGGCUAACUACGUGCCAGCCGCCGCAGUAA